CUCCUACGGGAGGCAGCAGUGGGGAAUAUUGGACAAUGGGGGAAACCCUGAUCCAGCGACGCCGCGUGUGUGAAGAAGGCCUGCGGGUUGUAAAGCACUUUCGGUGGGAACGAAAUAUGCCGGGCUAAUAUCCCGGUAGGCUGACGUUACUCAAUGAAGAAGCACCGGCUAACUCUGUGCCAGCAGCCGCGGUAA
rnacentral:rRNA from 1 species